rnacentral:rRNA from 1 species
UCUAGAGAUUUGGCGGACGGGUGAGUAACGCGUGGGAACAUACCCUUUCCUGCGGAAUAGCUCCGGGAAACCGGAAUUAAUACCGCAUACGCCCUACGGGGGAAAGAUUUAUCGGGGAAGGAUUGGCCCGCGUUGGAUUAGCUAGUUGGUGGGGUAAAGGCCUACCAAGGCGACGAUCCAUAGCUGGUCUGAGAGGAUGAUCAGCCACAUUGGGACUGAGACACGGCCCAAACUCCUACGGGAGGCAGCAGUGGGGAAUAUUGGACAAUGGGCGCAAGCCUGAUCCAGCCAUGCCGCGUGAGUGAUGAAGGCCUUAGGGUUGUAAAGCUCUUUCACCGGAGAAGAUAAUGACGGUAUCCGAAGAAGAAGCCCCGGCUAACUUCGUGCCAGCAGCCGCGGUAAUACCCAGCAGCCGCGGUAAUAAUCGUCGAC